AAAAAUCAUUUUUAGAAACUAGAAUUAAAAAGAGAAAUAAUGCAAUUGGUCCCAUAUUUUUUGGAAUUAAAAUGAGAGAGUUAUGAAUUUUUGAAGUUAAAUGAAAUAAAAGAAAAAAAAUGCAAAUUAAAUCAGAAAAUGAAAAAUGCUAAAAAUCCAGGCGCGUUAGAUCCAAUUCAUUAAAUUAUCUGGCAUAUCAAACGGCUGUGGCAUGCGCGCGCAUCAUGG
rnacentral:lncRNA from 1 species